rnacentral:rRNA from 1 species
GGAGGGUGCAAGCGUUGUUCGGAAUUAUUGGGCGUAAGGAGCGUGUAGGCGGUCCGGUAAGUCAGAUGUGAAAGCCCUGGGCUCAACCCAGGAAGUGCAUUUGAAACUACCAGACUUGAGUACGGGAGAGGAGGGGGGAAUUCCCGGUGUAGAGGUGAAAUUCGUAGAUAUCGGGAGGAAUACCAGUGGCGAAGGCGCCCUCUGGACCGAUACUGACGCUGAGACGCGAAAGCGUGGGGAGCAAACAGGAUUAGAUACCCUGGUAGUCCACGCCGUAAACGAUGAGCACUAGGUGUAGCGGGUAUUGACCCCCCUGCUGUGCCCGUAGCUAACGCAUUAAGUGCUCCGCCUGGGGACUACGGUCGCAAGACUA